UUAAUCAAGUUUCAGAAACGUCGGGAGAACAAGCUAUGUACGUGGAUGCCGUUGUAAUCGCAGGGAUCGCAACAGUAUUGCUGAUGGUAGGCUUUUUUGUGGGUGUCGGGAUUUUCGUGAUCAAAGAUCAGAAAGCCCAUGGCGGGAAGAACGCCAGUGAACAUCG
rnacentral:ncRNA from 1 species